rnacentral:rRNA from 1 species
AGAACGACUCUCGGCAACGGAUAUCUCGGCUCUCGCAUCGAUGAAGAACGUAGCGAAAUGCGAUACUUGGUGUGAAUUGCAGAAUCCCGUGAACCAUCGAGUCUUUGAACGCAAGUUGCGCCCGAAGCCUUAGGGCCGAGGGCACGCCUGCCUGGGCGUCACGC